rnacentral:lncRNA from 1 species
AAAAAUGAUACUGCACUAGAUUUAUUUAUACAGAUCAAUUUUCUAUAUCUUAAUAGUUUGACAAAAGAUCUUCAUCUCUGUCACAGCUUUGGCUUUAAGACUUUCCACAUUUCUUCAGUUUACUGUUUGGCUACAGCUUCUCCAGAGCAGUCGAGAUAGUCUGCAUUCCACAUACCAAUGCCCCGUAAGCCAUAGUUUGUAUAUAUGCUGCCUUUUAAGAAAUGCUCUGAGGGUUAUCAUACCACACUUGAUGAAAAUGGCCAGCAGGAUCUUUAUAAUUAUAAUAAGGAGCCUGCUGAUCUUUAUUCCACUGACUUCCAGAAACAGAACUAUUUAUUUGUUUCACGAUUGUUUUAUAGGGCAUUUGUCAUCCUGCAGCAUCAUUACAAGGAGCCCCCCCUGGAAAGAGACUUUUGCAGUGAUACAAACAAGAUCCUCGAAUAGGUUCAGGCAGUGAUAAUCAUAACCAUACGAAGGAACACCCAGUACAAGUUUCUUAGAGUUAAUGACCAUCUUGAUGUAGUCACUAUAUCCUGAUAAUGUCUGAUUAUAGGGAGCAUUGGCUGCUGCAAUACAUUCUGACCAGAUCUAACUUUGUUCAUCAUAAGACAUGACAAAGAGAAAGUCACAAGCAUCUGCAAUUCCAGUAUAAUUAUAGCAUCUUCUUCUGUCUAUGUUCUUUGGAGACCAAGCCACAUCAAAAGUUACCUGUGAUCCCUCAAUCUCAUGAUGGAAAGACUGUGGUUUCUUUGACCAAAGCUGUUAAAUGCAUCAUAUUCUGGUGAUGAAAAAUUAACUUCUUGCUCUAUGUCAAUAUUAAUUCUAUCCAUAUAUUGUGUUUUAGCCAAGUGAAGUUUUUGUGCUAUCCAGGAUGCUCUGAAAUUAGGAUCAAUGAUGUUCUUUAAGGGUACAUCUCAAAGUCUGGGCAGUGUCGGAUCUGGCAGCAGAGCUCAGGUUCUCAGCAAGGACAGUCAGCCCAGGCCACCAGGCACAGCACCAGCAAGGCCAGCAGCCCCAAUGGCUGCAGGAUGACCCUUGGGGUGGGGUGAGGAACAUAGCAUCUGAGGUCCAGUGCAGACAUGCUGGAGGGUGGCCUUUCUUUCUUUCUUUCUUUCUUUCUUUCUUUCUUUCUUUCUUUCUUUCUUUCUUUCUUUCUUUCUUUCUUUCUUUCUUUCUUCCUUCCUUCCUUCCUUUC